rnacentral:lncRNA from 1 species
GGGGCGGAGUGGUCGCAGCCACUAAAAAUGCAUUUUUUCAUUCUGGCUGUGAUAAUGAUAAUGUUUGAUCUAAUUUAAUUCCAACUCGGUGAUCUGAUAGAUAUUUAUACCCGGUACUCGAAGAGUAAAUAGGGUAUAUUGUAUUUGUGUGUAUAACGGUUGCAUGUAACGCACAUAAAGAAACGUUUCCGACCCCAUAAAGUAUAAAUAUUCUUGAUCAGCAUCAAUAGACGAGUCGAUUGAGCCAUGUCUGUCUGUCCGUCUGUCCGUCUUGUUUGUCGGCUAGUUCUCAGAGACUAUAAGAGCUAGAGCCUUCAAAUUUUGCAUCCAGACUGCUAUAUACUCACACUGAAACCAGUGUAUUUCAAAAAUGAACCACGCCCCCUUUCGCCCCCGCAAAAGGUCGAAAACCUCCCGAAUCUACAGUUUUGAAGAUAAAACUUGAAAGAAAACUAAAAACGCCAUUACGUAGGGAAUGGCCAAAUCUAUCAGAUCACCAAAUUGGGAUCCGAUUGGAUCAUUAUUAUAGCCACAAUGAAGAUAUUAAUUUCCAGUGGCUAAACCCACCCUGUCCCGCAGAUUUUCUUGUUAUUAUCACAUUCUCUCCUUCACACUCUGCUUCUGCUUCACUCGGCCCCUGCCUCUGCCCUCCCCCUGCCGAUGACUCUUCCGAAUUUUAACCCACCCCGUCCCGCAGCUUAUAUUUGUUUUUUUUUUGUGUGAGGGCGCUGCCUCUGCCUCUGCCGCAAGUCAGCAGUAUGUGGGUCUAGGGAAGGGCGGCGAGCGUGUUGGUGUGAGAAGCGUUGUAGAUGUAGAUGACAGUUGAAGACAAAAUUUAAAAUUUGACAAAACACCGCUAAGGUGCAGAUGUGGUACUGAGUGCCGGGUAUAAAAGUUGUGACGCGUAAGAAGCGUCUCACACGUCCCUUCUCGUUUUAGUUUUAUUUUAGCUUGAAAAUUGUGCAGAUUUUCGCACUUUGCCGGGGCGGAACGAAAUUUUGAAAUACACUUGUAACAGUUUGAGCAUACAGCCAUCUGGAUGCAAAGUUUGGUGGCUCUAGCUUUUAUAGUCUCUGAGAUCCAGGCGCUCAACAAGACGGACGAACGGACGGACGGACGCACAGACAGACAUGGCUAUAUAGACUCUGCUAUUGAUGCUGAUCAAUAAUAAAUAUACUUUAUGGGGUCGGAAAUGUUUCCUUCUGUGCGUUAC